GCUGGGAGAAGGCAUUUUACUCAUUUGCUCUCUCCCUUCCUACCGUCAGCUGGUCCCUCUUCUCAGGUGUAGAUCACCUAUUAUCAUUUCACCUAUUUUGAUACUCUACUGAGGAGAGUCCCAGGAUGCAGCUGGGACAGGCCCACUUACAAGACAGCCCAGUUCAGUAUUUGGAAGAAAGCCUGACAGGUUUCUCCGGAAAAGUGACCAUCCAUGGAAUGAAUGAAAUGUUCUCUUUCUAUUCCAGGGAUUGCAGUGGCAAAGCUAGGCUAGGUCUUGGAGGCUGGUGUAAGGCGAUGCGGGAAGGCAGGAGGCUGAUGGAGAGACUGGGGGGAAGAAAAGCCGAAAUGGAUUCACGGUGCCUUGGAUGGAGGAUGAGAGGGGAACUGCAAGCUCCUUCAACUCGUUCUGUCCGGUGAGAAGUGAUCAAGCUUGGGCUGACAAGAGGCUCAGGGAGCCCUCACGUUCUUUGCUUUUUUACCUGCCAAUCAAACUGCUACAAGACAACACCCUGAUCUGGCAUGGACAUCGUGGGUCCAAGCCUGUAGCCCCAAAUCGGAUAAUCUCUGCAGCUGAUAACAAGCAAAAGAGAAGCCAGGCAACAGCCAUAUUACAGAAGAAAACAAUCAACUCCGAGGUUUCUGAACUGUUUGUGCUUCUGGACCAUCAGAUCUGGGUACAUGUCUCCCUUUGAGAUUCCCUCCUUUCUUCCCCGUGUUAUCUUCAUGGAGGGGAUCCACUGACCCAGAUCCUGGUUGCAGCAGGGCAGCACCACACUGAUCUGAUGGAACCAGAAGGAUUUCAGAUCUAUAACCAAAUUACCACCUUGGAACUUUGUGCUUGUUAUGCUAAUGACUUCUAUCCAACUUAGAAAUAUCGUUUCACUCAAGAUAAGGCUCGUGGUUUAGGAGAUUCUGGCCCAACUUGCCUCAUUCUCAGACUUCUGUCAUCUGUUUUCAAAACCCAAAGAGGACUUCUUUGUCCUUUGGUAGUUCCUCACACUUUGCCAGCCCCUGGUCCUUAAGGAAACUUGUCAAGAGCUCAGUGCCUGGGAAGGACAGUCCUAUCAUCACAAUGAGUCAGCACCACAGUCUCAGGGACUCACAGAACUGGAUGCCCACUUUGAAACACGAAGAACACACUAAUUGAAAGACCUAUGUAUAAUUGAAUGAUAUGGUGGACACAAUGUCUUUACUUUACUUUUCUUGUGGGGCUGAGGAUCGAACCCAGUGCCUCACGCAUGCUUGGAUUCCAUCCUGCAAGUUUUCUUUUUUCCCCCCAAGGAAAGCAGAGUUCUCUUUGAGAGUUCUAGCCGGCAAACUCAAUGCGCACAUGUGAACAUCCAGCAAGACAAAACUGCCACCAGGAUAGAUUGUGAAUAUUUCCCUUUCUCCCCAGCAUUCCUUCUUCCAGUGGAAUUUACUCCAAGUUUCACCCUUUUCCCAGCUCCGUUGAAAAUCUCCCCAAAAACACUGCAGUGGCUAAACCAAUCGUGCUCUGAAACUGUGGAGAUGCCAUUUCAUCUGGAUCCUUUGUGAAAAUUAGAUUUUAAGUAGGGGUGAAUAUCCUUUUGGGAGAGGGAACAG